rnacentral:pre_miRNA from 1 species
UGAGUAUUGCAUCAGGUACUGGUAGUUUCAUAACCAGUAUUUGUGUGAUACUCAAC